rnacentral:rRNA from 1 species
UACAGAGGUCUCAAGCGUUGUUCGGAUUCAUUGGGCGUAAAGGGUGCGUAGGUGGCGCCAUAAGUCGGGUGUGAAAUCUCGGGGCUUAACUCCGAAACUGCAUUCGAUACUGUGGUGCUUGAGGACUGGAGAGGAGACUGGAAUUCAUGGUGUAGCAGUGAAAUGCGUAGAUAUCGUAAGGAAGACCAGUGGCGAAGGCGGGUCUCUGGACAGUUCCUGACGCUGAAGCACGAAGGCCAGGGGAGCAAACGGG